UACGUAGGUGGCGAGCGUUGUCCGGAUUUACUGGGCGUAAAGAGCGCGCAGGCGGUCGUAUAAGUCGCGUGUGAAAGCCCCCGGCUCAACUGGGGAGGGUCACGCGAUACUGUUCGACUCGAAGGCAGGAGAGGGUAGUGGAAUUCCCGGUGUAGUGGUGAAAUGCGUAGAUAUCGGGAGGAACACCAGUGGCGAAGGCGACUACCUGGCCUGUUCUUGACGCUGAGGCGCGAAAGCUAGGGGAGCAAACGGG
rnacentral:rRNA from 1 species